rnacentral:rRNA from 1 species
UACGGAGGGUGCGAGCGUUGUCCGGAAUCACUGGGCGUAAAGGGCGCGUAGGCGGCGCGGGUAGUCAUCGGUGAAAAGUUCAGGGCUCAACUCUGAAUCGGCCGGUGAUACUCCCGUGCUCGAGCACUGUAGAGGCAGGUGGAAUUCCGGGUGUAGCGGUGGAAUGCGUAGAGAUCCGGAAGAACACCGGUGGCGAAGGCGGCCUGCUGGGCAGUAGCUGACGCUGAGGCGCGAAAGCGUGGGGAGCAAACAGG